rnacentral:rRNA from 1 species
UUUUUUUAUGGAGAGUUUGAUCCUGGCUCAGGACGAACGCUGGCGGCGUGCUUAACACAUGCAAGUCGAACGGAAAGGCCUAGCUUGCUAGGUACUCGAG